rnacentral:tRNA from 1 species
GUAGGUAUAGCUCAGUGAUAGAGCACGUGCUUAGCAUGCAUAAGGUCUUGGGUUUAAUUCCCAGUACUUCUA